rnacentral:rRNA from 1 species
AUGGAGGGGGAUAACUACUGGAAACGGUAGCUAAUACCGCAUAACGUCGCAAGACCAAAGAGGGGGACCUUCGGGCCUCUUGCCAUCGGAUGUGCCCAGAUGGGAUUAGCUAGUAGGUGGGGUAACGGCUCACCUAGGCGACGAUCCCUAGCUGGUCUGAGAGGAUGACCAGCCACACUGGAACUGAGACACGGUCCAGACUCCUACGGGAGGCAGCAGUGGGGAA